CGCCGGUCGGCGGUGGCGAGGCCGGGGGUUGCGGCGCUCGGGGGAGGCGCGGAGCUCGGCGGGCGGGCGGCGGCGGCUCCGCCAGGGACAGGCGGGGUCGGAGCGAGAUGGAACCGUGACCAGAUUCGUGCUUUCUGCUGAAGGGAGAAAGAGACUCAGGGCUGAAAGCAAAUGCCAUAAGCUUUUCAGAAUGACUGGGGAGAGAGCUGCUGGCAUGGAAAUGAGCUGGGUUUGUCCGUGGGAACUGUGAGUAAGGUUGCCAUCACGAAAGCCAAAGUGGAUUUCUCCG